UAUUCCUCUCGAGCCUAUAGGCUCCCACGCUAGCCGCCGCCCCUCAACCUGCCAGCAUACCGGAGCACGCCUCUCACCACUCGUCGGAGAUCCUCCGUCCUGGCAGGCCGCCCAUCACUAUUCCCCUGCGACCCUCCACCUUGGCGGCGCCGUCCCUCGUCACGACUCCCUUGUGACCCUCGAUCCCGAUGUGUCAUCCCUCGUCGCAAAUCCCCUGAGAUCCUGCAUCCCAACGCGCUGCCCUUUUUCAUCGCUUUCCUACGACCAACCACGUCUACUACCUCCGCUCGGGGGCUCGCGACUAGGAGGAGAGCUGCAGCUACCACCAUCCUCGCGAUCGCGCCUCCACGCUCGGUCGGGUAGGCUGCUACGACGCUGGGGGAGAAGGACAUAAGUGCAGUGCAUGGCAAGGUCGAGUACUUGUUGGACCUGAGGGCUUCUGAUCCAUAGUUCUCUGCAUGAUCAUCCAUCAGCAUCUGGUGAAAUUAGCACACAGAGCUGCAUAAGGCUUUCUCCCCACUACAACUGGAGUUGAAGAGCGCAAGGAAGUUUGAUCAGGAUAUAUACUGGAUAUUUUAUUAGAAGUUGGUGGUAAAGAUGAAUUAAUGGUUGAUCCACCCUAUUGUUCUCACCGCACUUCAUGCAAAAUCAUUGGAUUCAAAACAUAAAUGGAUGAUUAUAUGGGUGUGUGGCAACUCGCCAGUAUACUACAAUGAUGACGAUGAUGUUCCUGUUCAUGAUGAUGAAGGGAUCUGCUUUUAGUUUUAGUUAAGUUAUAGGGAUGAUGUUCAUGUUGCACGAUGUUCCUCGAUUAUGUUUUAGUUAAGUUGUAAGGAUGAUGAUGGAUGCUUUUCAUUUAAGUUUCACCCGUAAGAAACCAUUUAGAUUAUACAUCCCAUUUGGAUGGUUUUCCUCGUGUAAUAUUCACACUUGUAAGGAAGCAGUUUUACCUAAUAUAUAUUUCUUUCUCCCA